rnacentral:rRNA from 1 species
AUUGAACGCUAGCGGCAGGCCUAACACAUGCAAGUCGAACGAGUGGCGGACGGGUGAGUAAUGUAUGGGAAACUGCCUGAUGGAGGGGGAUAACUACUGGAAACGGUAGCUAAUACCGCAUAACAUCGGAUGUGACCAUAUGGGAUUAGCUAGUAGGUGGGGUAAAGGCUCACCUAGGCGACGAUCCAUAGCUGGUCUGAGAGGAUGACCAGCCACACUGGAACUGAGACACGGUCCAGACUCCUACGGGAGGCAGCAGUGGGGAAUAUUGCACAAUGGGCGCAAGCCUGAUCCAGCCAUGCCGCGUGUAUGAAGAAGGCCUUCGGGUUGUAAAGUACUUUCAGCGGGGAGGCGUUACCCGCAGAAGAAGCACCGGCUAACUCCGUGCCAGCAGCCGCGGUAAUAC